UGGGUUUAAGGGAGCGUAGAUGGAUGUUUAAGUCAGUUGUGAAAGUUUGCGGCUCAACCGUAAAAUUGCAGUUGAUACUGGAUAUCUUGAGUGCAGUUGAGGCAGGCGGAAUUCGUGGUGUAUCGGUGAAAUGCUUAGAUAUCACGAAGAACUCCGAUUGCGAAGGCAGCCUGCUAAGCUGCAACUGACAUUGAGGCUCGAAAGUGUGGGUAUCAAACAGGAUUAGAUACCCUGGUAGUCCACACGGUAAACGAUGAAUACUCGCUGUUUGCGAUAUACUGCAAGCGGCCAAGCGAAAGCGUUAAGUAUUCCACCUGGGGAGUACGCCGGCAACGGUGAAACUCAAAGGAAUUGACGGGGGCCCGCACAAGCGGAGGAACAUGUGGUUUAAUUCGAUGAUACGCGAGGAACCUUACCCGGGCUUAAAUUGCAGAUGAAUUACGGUGAAAGCCGUAAGCCGCAAGGCAUCUGUGAAGGUGCUGCAUGGUUGUCGUCAGCUCGUGCCGUGAGGUGUCGGCUUAAGUGCCAUAACGAGCGCAACCCUUGUUGUCAGUUACUAACAGGUUCCGCUGAGGACUCUGACAAGACUGCCAUCGUAAGAUGUGAGGAAGGUGGGGAUGACGUCAAAUCAGCACGGCCCUUACGUCCGGGGCUACACACGUGUUACAAUGGGGGGUACAGAGGGCCGCUACCACGCGAGUGGAUGCCAAUCCCCAAAACCUCUCUCAGUUCGGACUGGAGUCUGCAACCCGACUCCACGAAGCUGGAUUCGCUAGUAAUCGCGCAUCAGCCACGGCGCGGUGAAUACGUUCCCGUGUUUUAAACACACGGCCAGUCAAGCCAUGGGAGCCGGGGGUACCUGAAGUGCGUAACCGCGAGGAGCGCCCUAGGGUAAUACUGGUGACUGGGGCUAAGUCG
rnacentral:rRNA from 1 species